rnacentral:lncRNA from 1 species
CUGAAAUUCAUGGUGAUGUUCCUGCACUGCCAAAGGGGAAUCAGCCUUUUUUUCUCCUUUGAGAGAACAGAUGAGGGUUGAAAUUAGAACUGUGUUUUUAAACUAUAUUUUAGCAACCUUUAAAAUAUAUGUAUAUAUAUAUUAAGUAGAGUCAUAGUGCAUAAUAUAACAACAAAAUCGGAGCCUUAACUCUCACCUUCUUCUGGGCCUCAGGAACCCCGAGCUCAUGGGAAAAGUCUUGAGGAUCUCCCCAUCAGGAAGGUCACGGAGGGACUGCAGGAGCAGGGAGUUGCUAGAAGGAAGAGACCUGCCAGGCAGCUAUUGUACAUGGAGGGGAUGGGACCCAGUGCAGGGAACAGAAAGGAAGUAGGUGUGAGAAACGUUGCCACUCUCACCUGGACCAAGUGCGAUAGCUGAUUGGCUGCAGGAGAGCUGGGGGCGGGUAUUCGGUAUGAGAUCCACAGGCUGCUGGGAAUGCAAAGAGCCAGGAAGACAGGAAGAAAAGUUGAUGGGAGGAGGAGGAGACACCAGAGGGGUCGGCUCGGGUUUCAGGUGUUCGGGGCCACCUCAUAUGAGAUGCUUGAAAUAAUUGGACUGUGACUCAGGCGACGGGUCAGCCUGCUGACAGAUUUGGGAGGCUGCUGCGUGGAAGGGGAAUUUGAAACGUGGGCUGGAUCAGCACGGAGGAUUGGGCAGGGAGAAGGCCAAGGCUCAAGUGGAGAAACAGCCAUCAAGUUUAAAGUAGGAAGGAGGGAAGAGCCAGCAAAGGGGGUGGUGAGCGGUGAUAGGAAGACAGCAAGCCAGGCACAGCGGUCAGGGACGUCAGUGAUGACCAAGAAGCGGCCUCCAGGAGAGGCGAAUGUUACAGCCCCAUCUGCCCUUGUGUGACGAUCAAGUAAGAUAAGUGUAAAACCACCGGCCAUCUGCUCCAUUCCAGCUGUAAUAGGAACUAGACUGUGGACAGUGUUGAUGUGAGGCCUCCAGGGAAGAGGAUUAAAGUAUAUCGGAGCUCUUGUUCCUUUGUUCAGGCUUG